GUUUCCGUGGUGUAGCGGUUAUCACAUCUGCCUGACACGCAGAAGGCCCCCGGUUCGAUCCCGGGCGGAAACACCA
rnacentral:tRNA from 1 species